AUACGGAGGAUCCGAGCGUUAUCCGGAUUUAUUGGGUUUAAAGGGUGCGCAGGCGGCCAUUUAAGUCAGCGGUUAAAUCGUGGGGCUCAACCCCAUUCUGCCGUUGAUACUGGGUCGCUUGAUUGCGGUCGAGGUUUGCGGAAUUCGGUGUGUAGCGGUUAAAUGCAUAGAUAUGACGAAGAACACCGAUUGCGUAGGCAGCUGACCAGACCGCAAAUGACGCUCAUGCACGAAAGUGCGGGGAUCGAACAGGAUUAGAUACCCUGGUAGUCCGCACAGUAAACGAUGAAUACUUGUUUUCGGCGAUAUAAUGUAGGAGGCAAAGCGAAAGCGAUAAGUAUUCCACCUGGGGAGUACGCCGGCAACGGUGAAACUCAAAGGAAUUGACGGGG
rnacentral:rRNA from 1 species